UACGGGGGGGGGUAAGCGUUGUUCGGAAUUACUGGGCGUAAAGGGCUCGUAGGUGGCCAACUAAGUCAGACGUGAAAUCCCUCGGCUUAACCGGGGGAACUGCGUCUGAUACUGGAUGGCUUGAGUUUUGGGAGAGGGACGCGGAAUUCCAGGUGUAGCGGUGAAAUGCGUAGAGAUGUGGAGGAACACCAGUGGCGAAGGCGGCUUUUUUGGUCUGUAACUGACGCUGAGGCGCGAAAAGCGUGGGGGAGCAAACAGG
rnacentral:rRNA from 1 species